CCUACGGGUGGCAGCAGUGAGGAAUAUUGGUCAAUGGACGAGAGUCUGAACCAGCCAAGUAGCGUGAAGGAUGACUGCCCUAUGGGUUGUAAACUUCUUUUAUAUGGGAAUAAAAUGUUCCACGUGUGGGAUUUUGUAUGUACGAUAUGACUAAGGAUCGGCUAACUCCGUGCCAGCAGCCGCGGUAAUACGGAGGAUCCGAGCGUUAUCCGGAUUUAUUGGGUUUAAAGGGAGCGUAGGUGGAUUGUUAAGUCAGUUGUGAAAGUUUGCGGCUCAACCGUAAAAUUGCAGUUGAAACUGGCAGUCUUGAGUACAGUAGAGGUGGGCGGAAUUCGUGGUGUAGCGGUGAAAUGCUUAGAUAUCACGAAGAACUCCGAUUGCGAAGGCAGUUCACUGGACUGCAACUGACACUGAGGCUCGAAAGUGUGGGUAUCAAACAGGAUUAGAUACCCCUGUAGUC
rnacentral:rRNA from 1 species